CCAGGGGACAUGGCUCAGGGGCAGAGCACCUGCCUUGCCUGCAGAAGACCCCAGGUUCAAUCUGUAAUGGCAUCUCCUGGA